UACGUAGGGUGCAAGCGUUGUCCAGAAUUAUUGGGCGUAAAGAGCUCGUAGGCGGUUUGUUGCGUCGGCUGUGAAAUCCCGAGGCUCAACCUCGGGUCUGCAGUCGAUACGAGCAAACUAGAGUGUUGCAGGGGAGACUGGAAUUCCUGGUGUAGCGGUGAAAUGCGCAGAUAUCAGGAGGAACACCGGUGGCGAAGGCGGGUCUCUGGGCAACAACUGACGCUGAGGUGCGAAAGCGUGGGGAGCAAACAGG
rnacentral:rRNA from 1 species